rnacentral:lncRNA from 13 species
ACUAGAUUCUGAGUUCAGAUUAUAAACGACAUUGUACCAUUGUGUCCCUAUGUACAGACUGCACCUGUAGCUUGAGAGAGAAGGUAACAGGAGAGUAGUUCUGGAACUCUACAGCAAUCACAAUGCUCUUGUCAAGUUCUUUUGAAGAGUCCAGAGUACAGCCUGUUAUGUAUCUCAGGUGAUUUCAAAAAAGAGUUCAAGAUGACUCAGAAGAUCAGAGCAAGGCUGAAUAGAUGAAUUAAGAGAUAAUGUUCUUAGGAGUAGUCAGAGGGCAAGCAAAAGAUUCAAAAGAGUUUUCAAUAAGACAUCGGCAAGUCUGAAAAUGAGAGCCUGCGUCACUCAUGGGGCAUACUUGUGUGAUGUGUGGGUUUCCCUACCCGAGAACUCAUAGAAUCACAGAGCUCAGAGUUAACGCCACAGGUCACAGGAGGCUCACCCUGGCUCCAGUGGGGAAGCCUUGGCCAUCAUUCAGAGUGAGAGACCUGGAGAAGCCCAGAGACUAA